UUUAGCCCUGCUAGUUGCACGAGUUCAGACUCGUGGCAUAUAGCUCAGUAACACGUGGCCAAACUACCCUACAGACCGCAAUAACCUCGGGAAACUGAGGCCAAUAGCGGAUAUAACUCUCAUGCUGGAGUGCCGAGAGUUAGAAACGUUCCGGCGCUGUAGGAUGUGGCUGCGGCCGAUUAGGUAGAUGGUGGGGUAACGGCCCACCAUGCCGAUAAUCGGUACAGGUUGUGAGAGCAAGAGCCUGGAGACGGUAUCUGAGACAAGAUACCGGGCCCUACGGGGCGCAGCAGGCGCGAAACCUUUACACUGCACGACAGUGCGAUAGGGGGACUCCGAGUGUGAGGGCAUAUAGCCCUCGCUUUUCUGUACCGUAAGGUGGUACAGGAACAAGGACUGGGCAAGACCGGUGCCAGCCGCCGCGGUAAUACCGGCAGUCCAAGUGAUGGCCGAUAUUAUUGGGCCUAAAGCGUCCGUAGCUUGCUGUGUAAGUCCAUUGGGAAAUCGACCAGCUCAACUGGUCGGCGUCCGGUGGAAACUGCACAGCUUGGGGCCGAAAGACUCGACGGGUACGUCCGGGGUAGGAGUGAAAUCCUGUAAUCCUGGACGGACCACCAAUGGGGAAACCACGUCGAGAGAACGGACCCGACAGUGAGGGACGAAAGCCAGGGUCUCGAACCGGAUUAGAUACCCGGGUAGUCCUGGCUGUAAACAAUGCUCGCUAGGUAUGUCACGCGCCAUGAGCACGUGAUGUGCCGUAGGGAAGACGAUAAGCGAGCCGCCUGGGAAGUACGUCCGCAAGGAUGAAACUUAAAGGAAUUGGCGGGGGAGCACCACAACCGGAGGAGCCUGCGGUUUAAUUGGACUCAACGCCGGAAAUCUCACCGGUCCCGACAGUAGUAAUGACGGUCAGGUUGACGACUUUACUCGACGCUACUGAGAGGAGGUGCAUGGCCGCCGUCAGCUCGUACCGUGAGGCGUCCUGUUAAGUCAGGCAACGAGCGAGACCCGCACUUCUAGUUGCCAGCAACACCCUUGAGGUGGUUGGGUACCCUAAGAGGACUGCCGUUGCUUAAGUGGAAGAUU
rnacentral:rRNA from 1 species